CACGUAGGGCGCAAGCGUUGUCCGGAAUUAUUGGGCGUAAAGAGCUCGUAGGCGGUCUGUUGCGUCUGCUGUGAAAACCCGGGGCUUAACCCCUGGCUUGCAGUGGAUACGGACAGACUAGAGGACGGUAGGGGAGAACGGAAUUCCCGGUGUAGCGGUGAAAUGCGCAGAUAUCGGAGGAGAACCGAGCCGGUAGGCGGUAAGCGGGGUCCUCUGGGCCGAGUACAGCGUGGGA
rnacentral:rRNA from 1 species